UACAGAGGUCUCAAGCGUUGUUCGGAUUCAUUGGGCGUAAAGGGUGUGUAGGUGGCGCGCUAAGUCGGGUGUGAAAUUUCGGAGCUUAACUCCGAAACUGCAUUCGGUACUGGCGUGCUUGAGGACUGGAGAGGAGACUGGAAUUUACGGUGUAGCAGUGAAAUGCGUAGAUAUCGUAAGGAAGACCAGUGGCGAAGGCGGGUCUCGUGGACAGUUCCUGACACUGAGACACGAAGGCCAGGGGAGCAAACGGG
rnacentral:rRNA from 1 species